UCCCUGGUAGCUCAGCUAGUAAAGAAUCCGCCUGCAAUGCAGGAGACCCAGGUUCAAUUCCUGGGUUGGGAA
rfam:TPA: Bos taurus chromosome 4, whole genome shotgun sequence.